UAUAAAGGAAUGGGGAAAACUACCAGGAUUGAAAGGGGCUCCCCAGUCUGUGUGUGAAGGCGGGUGAUGAUGGCACGUCCGAGUGUGAAUAGCUUUGCAACUGCUUGUGCGUUUCUGUCACGAUCGGAACAGGGAAGCAAGAGCAGGAAGACGGAGGAUUGGGAAAUACGGGGUGUAAUCGGGAAACAGCAACAUAAACCACGAAACUUCAACGCAACGUUAAUGACAGGACUGGGGAAAAAUACUCUGACGUUGAUUUAAAUACACCGAACUAAUCGGAAAUAACACAAAACAGCUGGUAAAGACGGGGAAUCCACACAGGGUAGAUGAGGGGGCGUGGCACACGCCCAGACUUGAAUCCGAUUGAACAUCUCUGGAGAGAUCUUAAAAUGGCUGUGCUCCGACGCUUCCCAUCCAACCUGAUGGAGCUUGAGAGGUGCUGCAAAGAGGAAUGGGCCAAACUGCCCAUGGAUAGGUGUGCAAAGCUUGUGGCAUCAUAUUCAAAAAGACUUCAGGCUGUAAUCGCUGCCAAAGGUGCAUCAACAAAGUACUGAGCGAAGGCUGUGAAUACUUAUCUACAUGUGAUUUCUCAUUUUUAAUGAAUUUGCAAAAAUUUCAAGUAAACUUUUUUCACGCUGUCA